GGACUCUCACGUGCAGGAGCCAGUCCUCGCUGGGCUCUAGCGGGCUUCUGAUGGAGGAGCUACUCCUCUGGGAGGACAGAGUAGGUGGGCUCUGCUGCAGGUCCGGGCGGCGGGUUGUGAGGGCCGAGGUGGCACGGUGUAUGAAGGCCUGUGUUUGAAGACUUAGGUCAGACCUUUUGCCCGCCUUUCCCCUAUGCAGCUCUAUGCAACUGUCUGUGCAAGGUCCUGUAAUUUGCGUAGGACGCCUUGACACAGUCUCUGCUUAUGGACGCUUUACAAAACUAUCUUGCAAAGAAAUAAGUACUAUACAGGAUAAGGUUCUGAGAUACUGACAGGGCUGGAACUAGGGUGAGAUAAGUGUAAAAUGUAAAUGGAUGCCAAUAAAAUUCAGUAAUCAAGGCGAUUAAUUCUUUAGACUGUCAUCAUGGGUAUCCGAGGACUAAUGAGUUUUGUGGAAGAUCAUAGUAAUGAGUUCUUCACUGAUUUGAAGUUGCGGGACACAAAAAUUGUCAUUGAUGGUUAUGCUCUUUUCCACCGUCUUUGCUUCAGUUCAAACUUGGAUCUCCGGU
rnacentral:lncRNA from 10 species